UAUUGCCUAGGGAAGGCAUAGGACUUGCAAUAGUCAAGGACAAGAAGGCUCAUGUUAUAGAGUCACGUCGUAACGUGCAGCUUAUGAUAAGCUUGACGCAUGCUGGCAGUCACUGCCCGGUCAAGUUGGGGGUUUUGUUUUGGUUUGUUUUUGCUACGGUUUUUACUAUGAUUGUGUGUUACGCCUGACACAUGCUUUUGAUCCUAGUUCCUAUUCGAAAUAAAUAAUUAGUCGUUGAAGUUUA